AUUGAACGCUGGCGGCAGGCCUAACACAUGCAAGUCGAACGAGCGGCGGACGGGUGAGUAAUGUAUGGGAAACUGCCCGAUGGAGGGGGAUAACUACUGGAAAAGGUAGCUAAUACCGCAUACCAUCAGAUGUGCCCAUAUGGGAUUAGCUAGUAGGUGGGGUAACGGUUCACCAAGGCGACGAUCCCUAGCUGGUCUGAGAGGAUGAUCCGCCACACUGGGACUGAGACACGGUCCAGACUCCUACGGGAGGCAGCAGUGGGGAAUAUUGCACAAUGGGCGCAAGCCUGAUGCAGCCAUGCCGCGUGUAUGAAGAAGGCCUUCGGGUUGUAAAGUACUUUCAGCGGGGAGGCGUUACCCGCAGAAGAAGCACCGGCUAACUCCGUGCCAGCAGCCGCGGUAAUAC
rnacentral:rRNA from 1 species